rnacentral:rRNA from 1 species
CUUUUGUUGGGAAAGAAAUCCAGCUGGCUAAUACCCGGUUGGGAUGACGGUACCCAAAGAAUAAGCACCGGCUAACUUCGUGCCAGCAGCCGCGGUAAUACGAAGGGUGCAAGCGUUACUCGGAAUUACUGGGCGUAAAGCGUGCGUAGGUGGUCGUUUAAGUCCGUUGUGAAAGCCCUGGGCUCAACCUGGGAACUGCAGUGGAUACUGGGCGACUAGAAUGUGGUAGAGGGUAGCGGAAUUCCUGGUGUAGCAGUGAAAUGCGUAGAGAUCAGGAGGAACAUCCAUGGCGAAGGCAGCUACCUGGACCAACAUUGACACUGAGGCACGAAAGCGUGGGGAGCAAACAGGAUUAGAUACCCUGGUAGUCCACGCCCUAAACGAUGCGAACUGGAUGUUGGGUGCAAUUUGGCACGCAGUAUCGAAGCUAACGCGUUAAGUUCGCCGCCUGGGGAGUACGGUCGCAAGACUGAAACUCAAAGGAAUUGACGGGGGCCCGCACAAGCGGUGGA